rnacentral:misc_RNA from 1 species
AGCAGGGGGGUGGCACUCUCCUCCCCCUUCUUUUCUUAUCUAGCUCUCCGCUCAUUCUCUCUAUCGAUUUUUCCUUUGCUUGAAGCAGGUUCAGACGUACGGUGCAUGAAGUAGGGCGAGGGGCGCUCGCGUUGCAACAGCUAGUCGCAGAUGGGCUCCAAAAAACAGGAUGCAUCAGCGGAGCUCCUUAGCGAGCUGCGCGCCGUCAUCGUGAGUGGCGGGUCGAUGGGCACGCUUGACGAGCAAAAAGUUAGGUCGGUGGUGGAGAAGAUAAACGAGUCUUAUGCAUGCAUUCAAUCUAUCGCCACAAACCCGUACGCUGAUAUGACGCAGCCGUACUACGUGAGUUCCGUGAAUUACUACCGCUCCAAAUGUUUGCGAGACAAGCGCUGCCUCCUCACGUACCUUUUAUGGAGACAAAAGCAAGUUGCCAAGGCGUGGUGGAGCGUGCGAGACAAUUUGCUGGAGGGCUCCCUGUCCGCAGCGGAAGCCAAGUACUUGUCCGACUACCAAGGCACCAUGGUGGAGUAUAUGACCUCCUUCGACGUCCCACUAGAUCUGCGCGCAUACUUGUGGAGACCUCCGUCAGUACGCCAGCUCGAGGUCCGCGGUCGCUGCCACUACGAGUUUCGGUCCUCUGUCAGCGGCAAGACCAUUAUCAUCAACACCGGCGAUCAGCUUUUCCUGAGCUUCGAGGAAGCUGAGCCUCUCAUUCAGCAGGGCAUCGUCGCGCUGGUGGGGCACUGACCGUGGGUGAGUGCUGGCUUUUUUUUUGUCUCUGUUUCGCCGUUUCGCACUCAGAGAUGUCACCCCUCCCCCCACUUCCACGCACGAGUGGUAUUGUUCCUUUCCGUGCACCGCCACCUUCUUCCAGCAGAGAGGUGCCGCAAGUGCUGAGGGGCAGGGAGGGACGAGGGAGGUGGGUGUUUCUGCUGAUCAUGUUGUGCCAUAGAGAAUCGGUGUGGUAAGAAGAAAUGUUGACGCACAGCUCAGCCCAUUGGACCUGGAGGACGAGUUGCUAGCAGCUCUAUUGCGCGCUGCACAAGAGUGCUGUGCAGUAUACAGCUUUUCCAUGACUGAACGCUCCCCCACAGCGUUCACAGCGGCGUGUGCGUUGCUGUGGCGCUCUUGUGCGGGUGCAUUGUGAUGGCGAUCCCCCGUAUCAUUACUUUUCCCCGCCUGCCUCUGUUGUACGCCUUCUUUCUACUCCUCCUGUCGUUCACUUCUCACACGCCUGCGUUCCACUGCGCUUCGCCGUUGUGUUCUCCUUUCCCUUCCGCAUAAG